AUUGAACGCUGGCGGCAUGCUUUACACAUGCAAGUCGAACGGCAGCACGGGUGCUUGCACCUGGUGGCGAGUGGCGAACGGGUGAGUAAUGCAUCGGAACGUGCCCAUGAGUGGGGGAUAGCCCGGCGAAAGCCGGAUUAAUACCGCAUACGCCCUUAGGGGGAAAGCGGGGGAGUCUUCGGACCUCGCGCUAUUGGAGCGGCCGAUGUCGGAUUAGCUAGUAGGUGAGGUAAAGGCUCACCUAGGCGACGAUCCGUAGCUGGUCUGAGAGGAUGAUCAGCCACACUGGGACUGAGACACGGCCCAGACUCCUACGGGAGGCAGCAGUGGGGAAUUUUGGACAAUGGGCGCAAGCCUGAUCCAGCCAUGCCGCGUGAGUGAAGAAGGCCUCGG
rnacentral:rRNA from 1 species